rnacentral:rRNA from 1 species
AGAGUUUGAUCAUGGCUCAGGAUGAACGCUAGCGGCAGGCCUAAUACAUGCAAGUCGAACGGGACUAAGUAGCAAUACUUAGUUCAGUGGCGCACGGGUGCGUAACGCGUAUGCAACCUACCUUAAACUGGGGGAUAGCCUUCCGAAAGGGAGAUUAAUACCGCAUAAGAUCAUUUGAGGGCAUCUGAAGAUGAUUAAAGAUUUAUUGGUUUAAGAUGGGCAUGCGUGCCAUUAGCUAGUUGGUAGUGUAACGGACUACCAAGGCGACGAUGGCUAGGGGUUCUGAGAGGAUGAUCCCCCACACUGGUACUGAGAUACGGACCAGACUCCUACGGGAGGCAGCAGUAGGGAAUAUUGGGCAAUGGACGGAAGUCUGACCCAGCCAUGCCGCGUGCAGGAAGAAGGCCUUCUGGGUUGUAAACUGCUUUUAUAUAGGAAGAAAACACUCUUGCGAGAGGAACUGACGGUACUAUAUGAAUAAGCACCGGCUAACUCCGUGCCAGCAGCCGCGGUAAUACGGAGGGUGCAAGCGUUGUCCGGAUUUAUUGGGUUUAAAGGGUGCGUAGGCGGCCCUGUAAGUCAGUGGUGAAAGCCUCCAGCUCAACUGGAGAACUGCCAUUGAUACUGCAGGGCUUGAGUACAGACGAGGUUGGCGGAAUUGAUGGUGUAGCGGUGAAAUGCAUAGAUACCAUCAAGAACUCCGA